GUAGGGUGCAAACAUUAUCCGGAUUUAUUGGGCGUAAAGAGCUCGUAGGUGGAUUGAAAAGUCAGAUAUUAAAUAUCCAGGCUCAACUUGGAAGCAGUAUCUGAAACUUUCAAUCUAGAGGUAUGCAGGGGAGAACGGAACAUACGGUGUAGCGGUGGAAUGCGUAGAUAUCGUAUGGAACGCCAAUGGUGAAGACAGUUCUCUGGGCAUUACCUGACACUGAGGAGCGAAAGCGUGGGGGUAGCGAUCGGGAUUAGAUACCCCGGUAGUCCACGCCGUAAACGAUGCAAACUAGGAACUCGGAGUAUCGACCCCCCUCUGGGUUUCGAAGCUAACGCGUUAAGUUUGCCGCCUGGGUAGUACGGCCGCAAGGCUA
rnacentral:rRNA from 1 species